rnacentral:tRNA from 1 species
UGGAGAGUUGUCCGAGAGGCCGAAGGAGCAUGAUUGGAAAUCAUGUAGGCGGUAAACACUGUCUCAAGGGUUCGAAUCCCUUACUCUCCGUUUC